rnacentral:rRNA from 1 species
AAAUAGAUACCCCAGGUAGUCCACGCUGUAAACGUUGGACACUAGGUGUGGCGGUCUGAUCAACGACUGCCGUGCCGAAGCUAACGCAUUAAGUGUCCCGCCUGGGGAGUACGGCCGCAAGGCUAAAACUCAAAGGAAUUGACGGGUCCCCGCACAAGCGGCGGAGCAUGCGGCUUAAUUCGAUGCAACCCGAAGAACCUUACCUGGGUUUGACAUCAUGGGAAAAGCCGUGGAAACACGGUGUCCGUAAGGGCCCAUGACAGGUGGUGCAUGGCUGUCGUCAGCUCGUGUCGUGAGAUGUUGGGUUAAGUCCCGCAACGAGCGCAACCCUUGUCCUAUGUUGCCAGCGGUUCGGCCGGGGACUCAUAGGAGACUGCCGGGGAUAACUCGGAGGAAGGUGAGGACGAUGUCAAGUCAUCAUGCCCCUUAUAUCCAGGGCUGCACGCAUGCUACAAUGGUCGGUACAACGGGCAGCGAUCCUGCGAAGGUGAGCGAAUCCCACAAAGCCGGCCUCAGUUCGGA